rnacentral:piRNA from 1 species
GCGGAGUUGAAAAAUGCAACCUGAGGGCAAA